rnacentral:rRNA from 1 species
AAGACAUUGUGUCUUCGAGUCGUUGAUUUCACACUGCCGAGAAAAGCCUCUAGAUAGAAAAUAGGUGCCCGUACCGCAAACCGACACAGGUAGUCAAGAUGAGAAUUCUAAGGUGAGCGAGCGAACUCUCGUUAAGGAACUCGGCAAAAUGACCCCGUAACUUCGGGAGAAGGGGUGCUCUUUAGGGUUAACGCCCAGAAGAGCCGCAGUGAAUAGGCCCAAGCGACUGUUUAUCAAAAACACAGGUCUCUGCUAAACCGUAAGGUGAUGUAUAGGGGCUGACGCCUGCCCGGUGCUGGAAGGUUAAGAGGAGUGGUUAGCUUCUGCGAAGCUACGAAUCGAAGCCCCAGUAAACGGCGGCCGUAACUAUAACGGUCCUAAGGUAGCGAAAUUCCUUGUCGGGUAAGUUCCGACCCGCACGAAAGGCGUAACGAUUUGGGCACUGUCUCAACGAGAGACUCGGUGAAAUCAUAGUACCUGUGAAGAUGCAGGUUACCCGCGACAGGACGGAAAGACCCCGUGGAGCUUUACUGUAGCCUGAUAUUGAAAUUCGGCACAGCUUGUACAGGAUAGGUAGGAGCCUUUGAAACGUGAGCGCUAGCUUACGUGGAGGCGCUGGUGGGAUACUACCCUAGCUGUGUUGGCUUUCUAACCCGCACCACUUAUCGUGGUGGGAGACAGUGUCAGGCGGGCAGUUUGACUGGGGCGGUCGCCUCCUAAAAGGUAACGGAGGCGCUCAAAGGUUCCCUCAGAAUGGUUGGAAAUCAUUCAUAGAGUGUAAAGGCAUAAGGGAGCUUGACUGCGAGACCUACAAGUCGAGCAGGGUCGAAAGACGGACUUAGUGAUCCGGUGGUUCCGCAUGGAAGGGCCAUCGC